AGUCCUGAACGUAAAAUUGUUUCUGGGUUAUAUUAUACAUGCAAGCCUCAACAAACCUGUGAAAAUACCCACUAUUGUCCUACAACAGACAAACGGAGUUGAUAUCAGGCACACCCUUAUUUAGCCAAAGACAUCUUGCCUUGCCACACCCCCACCGGGCCUACAGCAGUAAUUAACAUUAAAAAUGAACGAAAGUUUGAUUUAGACAUACCCACACACAGCCGGUAAACCUCGUGCCAGCCACCGCGGUUAUACGAGGGGCCAAAAACAACACACAGCGGCGUAAAGCAUGACCAGAGGACCCAACCCUAUUAAGGAGAAACUUCUUCAUCGUAGUAAAAUACCAAAGAAGACCNGAACWCCAAAAUCCUUAACCCUCCCCCGCCUCAUGAAAGCUAGAAUACAAACUGGGAUUAGAUACCCCACUAUGUCUAGCCAUAAACCAUAAUACUAUCCUACCAAGUAUUCGCCAGAGAAUUACAAGCAACAUGCUUGAAACUCAAAGGACUUGGCGGUGUCCCACAUUCCCCUAGAGGAGCCUGUCCUAUAAUCGAUAACCCGCGCUAAACCCUACCAUCUAAGGCCAACCCAGCCUAUAUACCGCCGUCGUCAGCCCACCCUAUUGAGGGCCCAAAAGUGGACAAAAUUGCCAAUACACAAAAACGUCAGGUCAAGGUGUAGCUAAUAAGAUGGCAGAGAUGGGCUACAUUUUCUAGCAUAGAAAAUCACGGAAAAUACAAUGAAACAUGUAUUUAAAGGCGGAUUUAGUAGUAAAGAAAGACUAAAAGAAUACUCUCUUUAACCAGACACUGGGACGCGCACACACCGCCCGUCACCCUCUUUAACAACUCUUUAUCACCCUAACAUAUACCACCCCCACACAAAAAGAAGAGGAAAGUCGUAACACGGUAAG
rnacentral:ncRNA from 1 species